GAUGAACGCUGGCGGCGUGCCUAAUACAUGCAAGUCGAACGCGCAGCGAAAGGUGCUUGCACCUUUCAAGCGAGUGGCGAACGGGUGAGUAACACGUGGAUAACCUGCCUCAAGGCUGGGGAUAACAUUUGGAAACAGAUGCUAAUACCGAAUAAAACUUAGUAUCGCAUGAUACAAAGUUAAAAGGCGCUACGGCGUCACCUAGAGAUGGAUCCGCGGUACAUUAGUUAGUUGGUGGGGUAAAGGCUUACCAAGACGAUGAUGCAUAGCCGAGUUGAGAGACUGAUCGGCCACAUUGGGACUGAGACACGGCCCAAACUCCUACGGGAGGCUGCAGUAGGGAAUCUUCCACAAUGGGCGCAAGCCUGAUGGAGCAACGCCGCGUGUGUGAUGAAGGCUUUCGGGUCGUAAAGCACUGUUGUAUGGGAAGAAAUGCUAAAAUAGGGAAUGAUUUUAGUUUGACGGUACCAUACCAGAAAGGGACGGCUAAAUACGUGCCAGCAGCCGCCGCCG
rnacentral:rRNA from 1 species